UACGUAGGGACCAAGCGUUGUUCGGAUUUACUGGGCGUAAAGGGCGCGUAGGCGGCUUAACAAGUCACUUGUGAAAUCUCCGGGCUUAACUCGGAACGGCCAAGUGAAACUGUCAAGCUAGAGUGCAGAAGGGGCAAUCGGAAUUCUUGGUGUAGCGGUGGAAUGCGCAGAUAUCAGGAGGAACACCGGUGGCGAAGCCGGGUCUCUGGGCAGUAACUGACGCUGAGGAGCGAAAGCGUGGGGAGCGAACAGG
rnacentral:rRNA from 1 species